UACGUAGGAUCCAAGCGUUGUCCGGAAUUACUGGGCGUAAAGGGUGCGUAGGCGGAAUUGUGCGUCAGAGGUGAAAUCCAACGGCUUAACCGUUGAACUGCCUUUGAUACGGCAAUUCUUGAGUGCGAGAGAGGCGAGUAGAAUUCCAGGUGUAGCGGUGAAAUGCGUAGAUAUCUGGAGGAAUACCAGUGGUGAAGACGGCUCGCUGGCUCGUAACUGACGCUGAGGCACGAAAGCGUGGGGAUCAAAC
rnacentral:rRNA from 1 species